rnacentral:rRNA from 1 species
AUGCAAGUCGAACGAACCUUCGGGUUAGUGGCGGACGGGUGAGUAACGCGUGGGAAUCUGCCCUCAGGAGGGGGAUAACGGUUGGAAACGACCGCUAAUACCCCAUAUGCCGAGAGGUGAAAUGAAUUUCGCCUGAGGAUGAGCCCGCGUCUGAUUAGCUUGUUGGUGAGGUAAUGGCUCACCAAGGCUUCGAUCAGUAGCUGGUCUGAGAGGAUGAUCAGCCACACUGGGACUGAGACACGGCCCAGACUCCUACGGGAGGCAGCAGUGGGGAAUUUUCCGCAAUGGACGAAAGUCUGACGGAGCAACGCCGCGUGAGGGAUGAAGGCCUCUGGGCUGUAAACCUCUUUUCUCAAGGAAGAAGAUAUGACGGUACUUGAGGAAUAAGCCACGGCUAAUUCCGUGCCAGCAGCCGCGGUAAUACGGGAGUGGCAAGCGUUAUCCGGAAUUAUUGGGCGUAAAGCGUCCGCAGGCGGCUUUACAAGUCUGCUGUAAAAACGUGGAGCUUAACUCCAUCAUCGCAGUGGAAACUGUAGGGCUUGAGUAUGGUAGGGGCAGAGGGAAUUCCCGGUGUAGCGGUGAAAUGCGUAGAUAUCGGGAAGAACACCAGUGGCGAAGGCGCUCUGCUGGGCCAUAACUGACGCUCAUGGACGAAAGCCAGGGGAGCGAAAGGGAUUAGAUACCCCUGUAGUCCUGGCCGUAAACGAUGAACACUAGGUGUCGGAGGAAUCGACCCCCUCGGUGUCGUAGCUAACGCGUUAAGUGUUCCGCCUGGGGAGUACGCACGCAAGUGUGAAACUCAAAGGAAUUGACGGGGGCCCGCACAAGCGGUGGAGUAUGUGUUUAAUUCGAUGCAACGCGAAGAACCUUACCAGGAUUUGGACAUCCUGCGAACCUCUUAGAAUUUGAUGGUGCCUUCGGGACGCAGUGACAGGUGCUGCAUGGCUGUCGUCAGCUCGUGUCGUGAAUGUGGGUAGUCCCGCACGAGCGCAUCACGUUCUUAGUGCAGCAUUACGUGGCCUCUAGAAGACCGUCGUGAAACCGGAGGAAGGGUGAUGACGUCAGGCUCAUUGCCCUUAAUCUGGGCUACACGUAGUCAAUGCUACGACAGGCGACAAAAUGUGGAGCAGCAAUCCAUUACGGGGCUCAGUUCGACGUAGAGC